CCUACGGGUGGCUGCAGUGAGGAAUAUUGGUCAAUGGACGCAAGUCUGAACCAGCCAUGCCGCGUGCAGGAUGACGGUCCUAUGAGUUGUAAACUGCUUUUGUACGAGGGUAAACCCCGAUACGUGUAUCGGGUCGACAGUAUCGUACGAAUAAGGAUCGGCUAACUCCGUGCCAGCAGCCGCGGUAAUACGGAGGAUCCGAGCGUUAUCCGGAUUUAUUGGGUUUAAAGGGUGCGUAGGCGGUUUGAUAAGUUAGAGGUGAAAUGUCGGGGCGCAACCCCGAAACUGCGUCUAAUACUGUUGGACUAGAGAAUAGUAGAGGUAGGCGGAAUGUAUGGUGUAGCGGUGAAAUGCUUAGAGAUCAGACAGAACACCGAUUGCGAAGGCAGCUUACCGGACUAUAUCUGACGUUGAGGCACGAAAGCGUGGGUAGCAAACAGGAUUAGAUACCCUUGUAGUC
rnacentral:rRNA from 1 species